UACAGAGGGUGCAAGCGUUGUUCGGAAUUAUUGGGCGUAAAGCGCGUGUAGGCGGCUUUGCAAGUCGGGUGUGAAAGCCCUCAGCUUAACUGAGGAAGUGCGCCCGAAACUGCAGAGCUUGAGUAUCGGAGAGGAUGGCGGAAUUCCCCAAGUAGAGGUGAAAUUCGUAGAUAUGGGGAGGAACACCGGUGGCGAAGGCGGCCAUCUGGACGGAUACUGACGCUGAGACGCGAAAGCGUGGGUAGCAAACAGG
rnacentral:rRNA from 1 species